rnacentral:rRNA from 1 species
CCGGGCGCACGGGUGAGUAACGCGUAUGCGACCUGCCCGUUGCAGGGGGGAUAAUCGGGAGAAAUCCCGUCUAAUACCGCGUAACGCCGCGGGGCUGCAUGGCCCUGCGGCCAAAGGGAGCGAUUCCGGCAACGGAUGGGCAUGCGUGACAUUAGCUAGUUGGCGGGGCAACGGCCCACCAAGGCGACGAUGUCUAGGGGUUCUGAGAGGAAGGUCCCCCACACUGGUACUGAGACACGGACCAGACUCCCUACGGGAGGCAGCAG